rnacentral:rRNA from 1 species
AUUGAACGCUGGCGGCAUGCCUUACACAUGCAAGUCGAACGGUAACAGGUUAAGCUGACGAGUGGCGAACGGGUGAGUAAUGUAUCGGAACGUGCCCAGUCGUGGGGGAUAACUGCUCGAAAGAGCAGCUAAUACCGCAUACGACCUGAGGGUGAAAACGGGGGAUCGCAAGACCUCGCGCGAUUGGAGCGGCCGAUAUCAGAUUAGGUAGUUGGUGAGGUAAAGGCUCACCAAGCCGACGAUCUGUAGCUGGUCUGAGAGGACGACCAGCCACACUGGGACUGAGACACGGCCCAGACUCCUACGGGAGGCAGCAGUGGGGAAUUUUGGACAAUGGGCGCAAGCCUGAUCCAGCCAUGCCGCGUGCGGGAAGAAGGCCUUCGGGUUGUAAACCGCUUUUGUCAGGGAAGAAAAGGUUCUGGCUAAUACCUGGGACUCAUGACGGUACCUGAAGAAUAAGCACCGGCUAACUACGUGCCAGCCGCCGCAGUAA